UUUUUCAGCCGGCCUUAAAUUCUUUUUUUACUCACUCUUAAUGCAAAUAAAGCUUCCCACCCCGCUGCUGCGCUACCAGAGCUUUUCAGGCACUUCUUGAAGAGCAAGACAAGGUUGGCUGGAGGAUAACAGGAGAUCAGGUUUUCACUGAUGCCCCCUGACCUCUACACAGCACACUUUUACACACAUGUACACACAGAUACACAACUCUGUAUCUGUACUGCAGCUUUCUUUGAAGAUGUCUUUCUCCGGUGGGUAACAUCAGAGAAAUUUUCUACAUCCGUCUUAAAAAGCCUUGCAGAAAGAAACCUCUAAUUUUGUUACAAUUAUUGGGUAAAUGGAUAAUAUCUGAUGAUUACUCUCCAUGUUUUUCCAUCGCAUAUAUUCUACUUAAAGUACAGAUGCAGGUGGAUGAAAAUGGGUCCUUGUGACCAAAGCUUUUAUUUCUAAUUUCUUUCAAGAGGCUCUAAUAUGCUUGAAUUUUUCAAACCAUGGGGAGGCAGUGAUUCAGAUCUGGAAAUGGGCGACGUUUGCUCAUAUUUCAGAGAGAAUAAAGUCAUUUCUUCUCAGCGUGUGGACACAAAAUCUAUCACGCAACCAUUCAAACACUUUCAAUCAAAUCUCUUGUUGCAUCUGCAUGAAACAGCAACUUUGCUCUUGCAGACGCUGUUGGAAGUGAACAGCCAGACAGCAGAAAGUAGUACCAUUACCACUACAACGAUGGAUGAAGAAUAAAAUGCAAUCACCACAGGACGGUAAAAGCUUUGAAGUGAAAUGGCCUCAAAUGAAGGUAUUGGCAGACAAAAUAAGGUUUCAAUCUUGCAAAAAGAUUACGUUUUUACACUUUCAGAGGCAGUCUGCUGCAAAUAAGGAUGCUUUAUCAAAAACUGUGUAUUUGCAUGUCAAUUUAAAGGGAUAUUCUGGUGAAAAUUUGUUAUUGUCAAACACACCGAAACAUCGAGUUAGACACCCCCUCAAGAGAUGAUUGUUGAGGACUGCUUGUUACUUUAGUUAUAACAACUUUAGUAACGACCACACGAUAGCAAUACACAGCGGUCUACAUCUCCACGUGCAAACCUCAAACAAAAAGCCACUCUAUAGACACAAAUAAUGCUCAGAACAGCACCUAACUUCAUCAACAGUACAUAUAGGGUCCCAGCCAAAGUACUAGCCACCAAAUAUCUUUUUAGCUUUGCCUGGUUUCUUUGGCAAAAAGACCAAACACAACUCACCCACUCUCCUCCAGCAGCCUUUUAUUUGUGGGGGGAGCCCUGACAAGUCGAUCACCAUGUGCAGCAGAUCAUUUCCUUGAAGUUAUAAUCAUCAUAUCAAUCAUUUUGCACUGCAGACGUGGUAGUUCUUCUGUCUUAGUGUCUUGGUCUAAUUACAUUUCCAUAAAGUAAUAAUCAUAAAUUUUCCGCUUGGUGAUCGACUCGCCAGGUCUUACGGUGUGGUUGACUAUAACUUAAAUAUACACCAGAUUAUACCUUUACGCUCUUUUGAAUUUGAAUUUGUUUAAAUUUGGCGCCCCCUGUGGACAAAGAUUGGUGCUCUGUUGUGUGCUUUGAUUAAAAAAAAAACCUCCUUAGUUUGUGGAUUGAAUGCAUAACUGACUCAUUAUGAAUAUCUGGUUGACGUAUUUUUAAAAGGGUUGUCCUGGUUCUAAAGGCUCAUUUAUGCUCACCGUACAUAUGAAAAUGUACGCAUCUAGUUCAAAUGAUGGUUCUGUCACUGCUUACAUACUUCCAUGCGUCCUUUAUGUUGGCAUGGAUGUUAAUUACAUUACAUCCACCAGAGGGCAGGCUGGAGUUAAAAGUUUCUGACAACAACAAACAAAAAGAAACAUGGCGACUGUGGAUUUUCUCCUUCGCGUCUGACCAGCUAACAAUUAGCUCUCUCCAAAUUUCCUCCCAGCUGUUCCGGAGUUUAUUAUCCCCGUGUCCCGGACAAUAUGUUUGUAAUUGAGUACCUGCUCACACAACAUUUCCUCAAAAAGCCCCACCAUUGUCUUCUUCAUUUCUCUACAGAGAUGCGUAUAGGGGAGUGACAGUAGCAACACUGCCCCCAUGGUUUCCGGUGGUACUGCUCCAUCUAGCCCAAAUCUGUAAACAGAAAUACAGAGAAAAAGAAUGUGAGGCACGUACAGAGAGGUCAGUCCGUAUCCGGAUCUGUAUGUAACGUUGAGCAUAAAUGAGCUUUGAUCUUGGCUUGGUUCUCUCUAUGUGGAGUUUACAUGCUUGUUCGCAUGAGCUGGAUCCCUCCAGGUACUCCAGCUGCCUCCCACCGUCCAGCGGUAAGCACUUACAAACUCGUCUCGCUAACUUGCACCCCAAAGACUUGAACUCAGCUCGGAUUGGGAGAGGGUCAAAGUGAGAGGAGGGAAAUCAAAGGAACGAUAAGAGAGGAUGAAUGAAAGCAGCUUUUACAACAGUCCUCUCACUGAUUAGACACCGAGGCACACUGGACUUCACUCAGACUUCACCUCACUUGGGGAACAACGGGGAUGAGACAGACUUUGAAACAGUCACUGAGGGGAGCCUUGAAACAGAUCAGAAGUCAGUAUGUGAUGAGCUGAAGUUAAAACAGAGUUUGACGUAAGUGUGAAUCAUAAAAUAUUGAGGGAUUUGGGGGAUUUUUGUUUUUAUUUUGUUUUCAGUUUCUAGAAAAAUAAUUUGUCAAAGAUCAACAGAAAGGAGAAAGAAAAGCAGCUUAUCUUAGACAUUCAUGAACAUCCACACCAGGGGCGGAUCGAGGAUUCUAGGCGAUUAGGGGCUCAGCCCUGAGGGUGCAGAUGCCGAUUAACUUUUUCAGUCUUUUUUUGCUGCCACGCACACAAAACUACAAUUUUUUUUUACUUCAACUUACCACCAUUUCAAAGCCGGCAAAAGACACAAAGGACACAAACUAAAGAUGUAAAAUAAAGUACGAUAAAUGAAUCUUAUUUCCUUACUGCUAUACCCGUGAUCCUGGCUGGCACCUCUGCUGUCCUUUACCGCUCUGUUCUUCAAUCUUUUAUUCUCAACCCUUUUUCAUCUUCUUUGCCUUUGCUGACAGCGUGUUCAUGUCUGUGCUCACCCAAAGUCAUGAAACACUCACAGGAAUCGCUUAAAGUGUGAGCCAAAACACUCAAUAUGGAGAGGUUGUUCGCACUGCUGGAUUCUUCUCCUCCAAAGCUGCUCUCUGCCUCCGUCACUGUUUACUUUCCUCACAAAGCAUGUAGCAAGAUCCGAGCAUGAACCCGAUCACUUUAUUAAGAUUUAUUAGCCAGAGUCAGAGGUAGACGGGUAUGAUGAUUUGAUUCGCCACGACUCCAGAAAUGAUUGAAAAACUACAGAAUGUUACAAAAUGACGUAUCCGCGCUCCCGGCUUGGAACGUUGAAAUGCGCACAAGCUGUCCUGGUUUAAAUGGGUUAAAAUUUGCCGUGGAGUCACUUGACUCGUCGUUAGAUGCUGGCAGUAGAGUAGAAGAGUAGUAACAGCCACCAGAGGGAAACACUUCUUCAUCUAAACAGGAAGGCUACAGGCUGCUUUCCUGCGCAUUCUGCCACUCUCUGGUGACCUCAAAUACUGCACAUUAAACCCAGACCAGCUCAGAGCCAAGAUCCUGGGGCUCUUGAGAAAACAUCCGGGGCUUGAGCCCAAGUAGCCACCCCAUAAAUCCGCCACUGAUCCACACUGUUGUAAGCAUCUCCCUCUGCUCUGACUGUUACGCACAUGAGAGUUGCACUGAUUUGGUCAGAUCUCAGGUUCAGAAACUUUUAUCAUCUCACAGAAGAAACAAACAAUGAAUACAUCUCCAGGGUCUUCUCCUUUGUCUGGUCAUGUACUGAGUCUCCAGCUUACACCUUGGGUCGGUCUUGCGGUGAUCACAUACUUCUCAAACUCAGGAUGGCUAAACCAACUUCCUGUAAGGCCCAUAAAAGGACAUCCUGACAUUUCUUUUACUCUGUUAUAAAAACAUAUAAGCAGCGAACUCGAUCAUCUCUGUGGAUUUUGUGUUUCAGUCAGUGUUGGAUGCCCUCCAUUAAACACACAUACACACAGAGGUUUCUCCCAGUGUGUUAUAGAGUGCACAGAAAGCCCCAUCUCCAUCUCUCUACCUUUCACCCUGUUCAGCUGCUUUCUGCCAUUAGUGUGGGUGAAACUUCUCUCCGAGAGCCAGACGUGAAUUGAAGCACCAACACAACAGAGUUAUUAGUCUGAUAUCACACAAAAACCAGGGAGUGAACAUCCUUAUACUCUGACUUAUCACACUGUGGGUUUCAGGUUUAUGUAGACGUCAGGUAAAAGCCCGACAAAUGGAGUAAACUAAAGAGAGAAGAGCAGCGUAUUUCAGAAGACCUCGUCUGCUUUCCUACUUUUGUUAUCAGACAAAACUCUGAUAUCUGAAAUCCUAUUACACACUGAGAGGUCUACAUGACUAAAAAACUCACAAAAGUAUUUUUUUAAGUAGGCCCUGGGGUUUGGUUUGUCUGUUUCUUUUUUCCUCUAGUGUUCCUAGUUAACCCAGACUGUAGGCCAUCUAAGGAUGAUAAGACCUCUACCAGCUCAGGGCUGUUUGGUCUUGCUAAAAGCAUCUGGCACAACGCAUAAUUAUCCACAAACAUUAAAUUUGGAAGUGUGAUCUGAAACAAAUUGGAACGUUGUAGUUAGUAUCAGCAUAACUUUUUAUAUGAAAUUAGUUCAAAUAAAACCAAGCUCCAGACUGAGUUCAGACCAUCCCCAUGAUCCUGAAUAACCUCAAAGGUCAGUUUAACUUGUAACAACCUGUAACAACAGAAAGUGUCAUUUUUAUGAUAUAAAGGUCAUAAAAAGCAAAUAAGAAGCAUUCAUGUAUGCACAUGAAAGGGAGGGGAGGAGCUCUCCCCUCUUAUACACUGAUUCGGUGAAAUGACCAGAAGUAGUACGGCCGCCAUUACUGCGGUGUGUGCGAAGCGAACGAGAAGCAGUGCUGUAAGCAGCGAGCAGCGACACAAGCAACCCUGCACAACUAUGUCAAGACAGUCUGGGAGGACGUGUGUCGUCAUCGGCUGUUACAACAACAGUAAAACACUACAGUUGUGGAAAAAGUCGAUAUGUGAGACGCACAUGCCGUUACUGAAAGAAGACUGUCCAUGUUGCUGAGAGCUGAGCUAAUGUAACAUCCAUUCAGUUGUGCACGAUCCCAUGCCCCGCAUUUAGAUCUUGGCAGGCAUGCAUUUCUCGGCAUAACACUGAUCGCCCACGAAACAAAUACUUAAUUCCUACAUUAUUUUUUAACCACGUAGGCUUGUACAUAAUGAUUAGCUUGCGAGGGUCAGUAUAAAUGUAGCCUAGCCAGUGUUUACACACACAUUUCCUCCUACUUCAGUAUUUCACAAUGAAAUACUUCAUUCUUUUCAUCUUAUUAAUUCCCAAAUUAAUAUCGGUAUUAAUUUAAGAUACCUUCAUUAGUAACCGGAGGCCACUGUCUGACAUCAUCAAACCAGGUGACUUCACUCAUGCUGUCAAUGAUGCUCUGAGACACUAUUUACUAGUUUAUUUGUUGAUAGCAUGACAACUUCAUGAUGUCACACACUGCAGCAAUGGCACCACCACAAGAUGGCGGUGUACACAAACCGCUCACCCGAAUUGGUGUAUAGCUGUGGCAUUCUGUGCAAGCACAUGGAAGGGCAGGGAACCCUCAGAACAGAGCCAUACCGCCGAUGUAAAAAUGUUUGCUUGUAAUAAAUAAUAAAACUUGACUAAAGUGAUCCUGACUGAACAAACAUUAAAUGUAAAAAAACAGCCUUUCUCCAUUAUUUUGAUUUAAUUUUAUUGUCUUUCUGUGGAUAUUGAUUUAAAAAAAUUGUGACAGUGAAACACUAAUCUCCGAUAAAAAUCAUGUUUUUCUUGUUGUCUACAUGUUCAUAUGGAAUUUUUCUGACGCUACAGGACAUAUCAUGAGAAAAAUAAGUGCGAAAUUGUAUUUCUGAGUAUUUCUGCAUUUAAAUCACUGAGAAUCGCGAGCAGACCCAAAAGGCAGGCUCAGACACAGUUGCCAACGUAGCAAAUCCAAGCUCCAGCACAGAGGACGAUCACGGAACAAGCGUGUGUGUUAGCUGAUUGCACUGCUCAUAAGAAAGUUAUUUAUGAUAUUUGCGUCCAUCAUGUCCCUAAAGACAUUAGUGUCGCAGGGCUGAAUAGCUCCUAUGUUACCUGCUACUUCCUCUAAGCUAGCAAAAUUAGGCUGCUAGCUAGCAUGAAGAGGAUUGUACAGAGCAGCACUGUCUCCGCCUACGAUUCAGAGGCGAAUUUUGCUAAUAAGCUACUGGAGAAGAAAAGUCCUUGACAAUGACACAGCUUAGUGAUUUUGGCUAAAAACUCCAUAAUCACAAUUUCAAGACCACUGAUAACACUUGAAGUAGUUUAAAAAAAAAAAUGAUUGGAGUGGGACUUGAAGCUUUCCACUAUGUGUCUUGGUAAAAUUUCAUCUCUGCAUGACUUAAAUGUCCUUGUGACAACAUAACUUCUGGAUGUUAAUCAUCAUGCCAGAUACUUUUAUUCCAAAAAUAGGGGUUUUGGAUGGUUUAAGGUCUGGGCUAAUUUGAAACGUUGAUGAUAAAAAGGAAACGAUGAACGUCCCAAGGGCUGGUCCUGGUUCCUGGUUGGCAUGCAUUCAUUCAGAUUUGUUCUAUUUAAAGGCUAAUCAUGAGAACGAUUCAUCCAAGACUUAUUCAUUCACAAAAAUAUGCAGGUGUAGUGACAUCGGAGGCAGAUCGAGAGAAACGGGCAAUGAUGGCUGCAGAUUAGAGUCCAUUCUUUCAAAGUUAUUAUUUCUGUCACUGGCGAACUCUGGUUGUUAUUUAAAGGCUGAAUCUCAAUUUCCACCUUAAACCCUGAGCUCUUAGGGAUUUAAUUGAUGUCACUUGGAAAGUGACUGAGUGCAAAGGCUGCAGACCCAAAAUGGUGUAGAUAGUAAUGGGACAGCACUCUGUGACCCUGACUGCAAACAAAUGGGCUUUCUGAUGCAAAGUGAAGUGCUGAAAAUGUUCUGGGCAGAGCUCACAUUCAGGCUGAGAUGAGUGUUUGGAUGAGUCUCUCUGAAUUAGCUAAAUUAUGUUGCAGAGUGGACCACGCCUGCAAGAAACUGUAGCAAAUGUAAAGUGCUGUUUCUACCUAGGACUGUGAUAGGCAUUUUUUCGUAUUUAGACGAAACUGGGGUUGUUGCGUCUUGUUUACAGUCUCUCUCUCACCCCUCCAUGCUUGCAGGCUUCCCCUGGAGAUCCCAUAGUUCACGUCACAGUGCUGUGAACUAGGUGUAAUUCCCUCACUCUAAAUCUGCAGAUAUGCCCACUUAUGGAAAAAGUGCAUAAAGGGCUCAAAAGUCUCGUACUCACUGACACCCCUAAGCCCUCACCGACUUAACAGAGACUCAGGGACUCACCUUAAAGUCAGCAAGUAAGUGAGUGUCUGACAUUACAAAAGGGAUCCCUGCAGACAAAGAUCUUCUUAGAGACUGGGAUACCUUAUUUUGACUUGAAUCAGCUGUUACAUUUCUUUCUUUGAUGCCAUGAAACUCUACUAAAAAGUGGUUUGUCUACUUCUGCAGUGACGAAUUCUUACUUUGGGAUGUUGUGCAACUUCUUUUGGUUGAGUACUGAGCUUUCAAGCUUUAAUCCACAGAGAGGACAGUGCACAGAUUCAGAAACUAGGAAGAAAGAGCUGGAAUCAAACCCAGACCACCCUAUUCGAGGCCUUUAAUCUCUGCAAACCAGUGCAUGAUUCCAGAAAUUCUCAAGGGGCCCCUCUGACAAGCGUUAAACAUAUAAAU